GACGAACGCUGGCGGCGUGCUUAACACAUGCAAGUCGUACGGUAAGGCCCUUCGGGGUACACGAGUGGCGAACGGGUGAGUAACACGUGGGUGAUCUGCCCUGCACUUCGGGAUAAGCCUGGGAAACUGGGUCUAAUACCGGAUAGGACCACUGCCUGCAGGGGUGGUGGUGGAAAGGUUUUGCGGUGUGGGAGGGGCCCGCGGGCUAUCAGCUUGUUGGUGGGGUGAUGGCCUACCAAGGCGACGACGGGUAGCCGGCCUGAGAGGGUGACCGGCCACACUGGGACUGAGAUACGGCCCAGACUCCUACGGGAGGCAGCAGUGGGGAAUAUUGCACAAUGGGCGCAAGCCUGAUGCAGCGACGCCGCGUGAGGGAUGACGGCCUUCGGGUUGUAAACCUCUUUCAGCACCGACGAAGCGCAAGUGACGGUAGGUGCAGAAGAAGGGCCGGCCAACUACGUGCCAGCCGCCGCAGUAC
rnacentral:rRNA from 1 species